rnacentral:rRNA from 1 species
GAUGAACGCUGGCGGCGUGCUUAACACAUGCAAGUCGAACGGUGAAGCCAAGCUUGCUUGGUGGAUCAGUGGCGAACGGGUGAGUAACACGUGAGCAACCUGCCCUGGACUCUGGGAUAAGCGCUGGAAGCGGCGUCUAAUACUGGAUAUGAGCUCUCAUCGCAUGGUGGGGGUUGGAAAGAUUUUUCGGUCUGGGAUGGGCUCGCGGCCUAUCAGCUUGUUGGUGAGGUAAUGGCUCACCAAGGCGUCGACGGGUAGCCGGCCUGAGAGGGUGACCGGCCACACUGGGACUGAGACACGGCCCAGACUCCUACGGGAGGCAGCAGUGGGGAAUAUUGCACAAUGGGCGGAAGCCUGAUGCAGCAACGCCGCGUGAGGGAUGACGGCCUUCGGGUUGUAAACCUCUUUUAGCAGGGAAGAAGCGAGAGUGACGGUACCUGCAGAAAAAGCGCCGGCUAACUACGUGCCAGCAGCCGCGGUAAUACGUAGGGCGCAAGCGUUAUCCGGAAUUAUUGGGCGUAAAGAGCUCGUAGGCGGUUUGUCGCGUCUGCUGUGAAAUCCCGAGGCUCAACCUCGGGCCUGCAGUGGGUACGGGCAGACUAGAGUGCGGUAGGGGAGAUUGGAAUUCCUGGUGUAGCGGUGGAAUGCGCAGAUAUCAGGAGGAACACCGAUGGCGAAGGCAGAUCUCUGGGCCGUAACUGACGCUGAGGAGCGAAAGGGUGGGGAGCAAACAGGCUUAGAUACCCUGGUAGUCCACCCCGUAAACGUUGGGAACUAGUUGUGGGGACCAUUCCACGGUUUCCGUGACGCAGCUAACGCAUUAAGUUCCCCGCCUGGGGAGUACGGCCGCAAGGCUAAAACUCAAAGGAAUUGACGGGGACCCGCACAAGCGGCGGAGCAUGCGGAUUAAUUCGAUGCAACGCGAAGAACCUUACCAAGGCUUGACAUACACCAGAACACCGUAGAAAUACGGGACUCUUUGGACACUGGUGAACAGGUGGUGCAUGGUUGUUGUCAGCUCGUGUCGUGAGAUGUUGGGUUAAGUCCCGCAACGAGCGCAACCCUCGUUCUAUGUUGCCAGCACGUAAUGGUGGGAACUCAUGGGAUACUGCCGGGGUCAACUCGGAGGAAGGUGGGGAUGACGUCAAAUCAUCAUGCCCCUUAUGUCUUGGGCUUCACGCAUGCUACAAUGGCCGGUACAAAGGGCUGCAAUACCGUGAGGUGGAGCGAAUCCCAAAAAGCCGGUCCCAGUUCGGAUUGAGGUCUGCAACUCGACCUCAUGAAGUCGGAGUCGCUAGUAAUCGCAGAUCAGCAACGCUGCGGUGAAUACGUUCCCGGGUC